AAAGGAUCUUACUACGCUGUUGAGUGUUUGUUGACAUCUUUGCCGCUCAGGGUUUUUCUGUUGUGAAACUUCAUGAAUUCUGCAUUGCAUUUAUAAAGUGUCCUGUGCCUCGAAGGAUAGCGAAUAGGUCAACGCGAUUGAAGUGAUCUGAUCUUAGGUCAAUGAAUCUGAAGCGAAGCGAGGCCGCGAACUAACUAAUGAAUGAAGGUGCUCGACUGGACAUUGCUUCACGCUCAGUGAUUACCAAGAACAGCAACAAAUAAUAAUUGAAUCCUUUUUGGAUUUUUAAGGAUUUAGAACUGAACUGUUGUAUUCCAUUACCAAUCAAGCAUCUGUCAACAUGACCAAAGAAACGCCCAAUAAGUCAAUGAAUAACUUGGAAAAUAAUAGAAGCAUAUUUUAGAACACAUUCUUAAUAAAAGAACUUUUACUCCAGAACAUGACUACAAAUUACGGGUACUAUUACGAGCGCCCGAAGACGCCAAAGAGGUGGUUCAACCUUGGCGUCUUCUCCUGCACCUUAGGAGGCCUCAUCUUCACCAUUGGAAUCAUUCUUGUUGUUUUAGGGUCAUCACCAUUUGAACCGGAAGCCUUGUGGAUUUCUGGCAUUGUAUUGUUAUUGAUUGGAGGCCUCUUGUUCUUCAUGGGCAUUGGAUCAAUCGGUCUAUAUCAGUCCAGAGAGGACAGGAGGAAGAAAGAACUGCAAAAAGCAGCAGCUAGGCAUUAUGUGUCUAGCGUUAGAGGCGGAGGGUCUAGUUUGUUGACAUUGGUGGAACCAAUGUAACUGGAAAAGUAACAUCUAUACUUUCAUGUAAAUAUGUGUUCAUUUCAUUUUACAGUGUGCCCAAAAAUGAAUGAUAGAUUUCAAAAAAGAAAAGGGAAGCGAUAGAAAUCUAUCGGAAAAGUUCGGGGAAGCACGGGAUUUUAUCCUACCCAUUUGCAUAUUUAGUUAGCAUUUCCGACAACAGUUGGCGCUACAGGUAUACGAGAACUAAAAUUUGAAAUCGUAUUAUAUCCAUUCGGUGUUUUAGUACACAAUAAGUUUUCCUGUGCUAGUGAAAAUGGGAACAUCAUGCUACAAAUGAAAGUAUUCAAUACUCUGCAAGCAAUAUACAAUCAAAAGCUUUUGGAUAACUUAUUAUGCAUCAAGUGCUUAUGAUUAUUGCUGCAUAAUUUUUGCUGUUGAUGUUUGUAAUUAAUUUAUGAUUGUAAAUUACGCUUCAUUGCAUAUUUCAUUGAUGCUCAAAUAUGUUUUUCAUAUGUUAAUAUGUUGACACAGG